AUUGAACGCUGGCGGCAUGCCUUACACAUGCAAGUCGAACGGCAGCGCGGACUUCGGUCUGGCGGCGAGUGGCGAAACGGGUGAGUAAUGUAUCGGAACGUACCAUUCAGUGGGGAUAACGCAGCGAAAGUUGCGCUAAUACCGCAUAUUCUGUGCGCAGGAAAGCAGGGAUCGCAAGACCUUGUGCUGAUUGAGCGGCCGAUAUCAGAUUAGCUAGUUGGUGAGGUAAAGGCUCACCAAGGCGACGAUCUGUAGCGGGUCUGAGAGGAUGAUCGCCACACUGGAACUGAGACACGGUCCAGACUCCUACGGAGGCAGCAGUGGGAAUUUGGACAAUGGCGCAAGCCUGAUCCAGCCAUGCCGCGUGAGUGAAGAAGGCC
rnacentral:rRNA from 1 species